ACUAAGGGUUCCUGGGUCAAGUUCGUCUUCCCAGGGUUAGUCGGGACCAGGCGAGGCCGACAGGCGUAGUCGAUGGAUAACGGGUUGAUAUUCCCGUACCGGUGAAAAACCGCCCAUACUGAUAUUGUGAUGCUAACCAUGCGAAGCAUGAUGUGCAGGCUUUUGUUUGUGUGUUGUGUGGGUUGUGGGGCCCGAUCUUUGGAGGUAAACGUGUUAACAGGUGUGACGCAGGAAGGUAGCCAAGCCACGCGAUGGUUGUCGUGGUCUAAGCGUGUAGGGUUGUCGGUUGUUAAAUGCGCCGGCUGUGUGCCUGAGACGUGAUGGGACCCUGUUUUUGGGGGAUUUGGUGAUCCUAUGCUGCCGAGAAAAGCAUCGGCGUGAGGUUUCAGCCGCCCGUACCCUAAACCGACACAGGUGAUCAGGUAGAGGAUACUAAGGAGUUCGAGAGAAUCAUGGUUAAGGAAUUCGGCAAAAUGCCCCCGUAACUUCGGGAGAAGGGGGGCCUGAUCCCUGAAGCCCCGUUGCGGGCUAGGGGGGAGGGUCGCAGAGUCCAGGGGGAAGCGACUGUUUACUAAAAACACAGGUCCGUGCGAAGCCGUAAGUCGAUGUAUACGGACUGACGCCUGCCCGGUGCUGGAAGGUUAAGGGGAACCAUCAACCCCUCUUUGUGGGGUGAAGUGGUGAAUUUAAGCCCCAGUAAACGGCGGUGGUAACUAUAACGGUCCUAAGGUAGCGAAAUUCCUUGUCGGGUAAGUUCCGACCUGCACGAAUGGCGUAACGAUUUCUCUACUGUCUCCACCACAGACUCGGCGAAAUUGCAUUACGAGUAAAGAUGCUCGUUACGCGCGGCAGGACGAAAAGACCCCGGGACCUUUACUAUAGCUUGGCAUUGGUGUUCGGUUUUGUUUGUGUAGGAUAGGUGGGAGACUGUGAAGCUCAUGCGCUAGUGUGGGUGGAGUCGUUGUUGAAAUACCACUCUGAUGAAAUUGGACUUCUAACCUCGGACCAUGAUCUGGUUUAGGGACAGUGCCUGGUGGGUAGUUUAACUGGGGCGGUUGCCUCCCAAAGUGUAACGGAGGCGCCCAAAGGUUCCCUCAGCCUGGUUGGCAAUCAGGUGUUGAGUGUAAGUGCACAAGGGAGCUUGACUGUGAGACUGACAAGUCGAACAGGGACGAAAGUCGGGACUAGUGAUCCGGCACCGGCUUGUGGAAGCGGUGUCGCUCAACGGAUAAAAGGUACCCCGGGGAUAACAGGCUGAUCUUCCCCAAGAGUCCAUAUCGACGGGAUGGUUUGGCACCUCGAUGUCGGCUCGUCGCAUCCUGGGGCUGGAGUCGGUCCCAAGGGUUGGGCUGUUCGCCCAUUAAAGCGGCACGCGAGCUGGGUUCAGAACGUCGUGAGACAGUUCGGUCUCUAUCCGCCGCGCGCGUUGAAACUUGAAGAAGGCUGUCCCUAGUACGAGAGGACCGGGAUGGACGUACCUCUGGUAUGCCAGUUGUCACGCCAGUGGCAUGGCUGGUUAGCUACGUGCGGGAGGGAUAACCGCUGAAAGCAUCUAAGCGGGAAGCCUGUUUUGAGAUGAGGUUUCUGUUGAGGUUCCCUGUAGAUGAUGGGGUUGAUAGGCCAGACUUGGAAGCACUGUAAGGUGUGAAGGCUACUGGUACUAAUUGACCAA
rnacentral:rRNA from 1 species